CAAGGAGGGGUCAAUAAGUAUAAUAUGAGUAGCAGAAUUUAUUGGUUCAUAAAAUGGAUGUGUUUUAACAUACUUAUUGUUUAUUUUUAUUGUUAUAUCUUUCUGUAGCACAUUCUUUUUACAAAUAUUUCUCUCUCUUCUCUGCCUUGCAAUAAAGAAUAAAAUAGGAGAAGAAAGGAGUUCAGUAAAACCAACUAAUACAUCACCUGAAUCUGACAAAAUCAACCUGUCAGAUGAAAACAGUUUGUUCCAAGGGCCAUAAAGGUGACUGAAGCAGGUGCUGAGGAGUGCUUAGAGUUUGAUCAGACAUCAAAAAAGGUCACCCACUGCAUCCUGGGCCAUCACCAGUUGUCCUGACUUUCAUCUUGCCAUUGAACAUGGAUGAGUGAAGAGAGAGUAGGUUGAUGACCUUGUGCAACUCUGCCUCACUUAAAUUCAAUUCAUGUACAAGUCGAGAUACCACUCUGUGAUGUCGUUGGUUCUCUUCAAAAAAUGAAGGAUGAAUGAAAGC
rnacentral:lncRNA from 1 species